UACGUGGGGUGCAAGCAUUGUCCGGAUUUACUGGGCGUAAAGCGUUUCGUAGGCGUUUUUGUAAGUUAUCCUUUAAAGACCGAGGCUCAACCUCGGGAAGGGGGAUAAUACUGCGAGAAUUUGAGUUAUUCUGGGGCAACUGGAACUAUCGGUGUAGGGGUGAAAUCCGUUGAUAUCGAUAGGAACUCCAAGGGCGAAGGCAGGUUGCUAAGAAUACACUGACGCUGAGGAACGACAGCUAGGGGAGCGAAAGGG
rnacentral:misc_RNA from 1 species